rnacentral:rRNA from 1 species
UUCUAAUCUGCGAUAAGCGCCGGUAAGGUGAUAUGAACCGUUAUAACCGGCGAUACCCGAAUGGGGAAACCCAGUGUGAUUCGUCACACUAUCAUUAACUGAAUCCAUAGGUUAAUGAGGCGAACCGGGGGAACUGAAACAUCUAAGUACCCCGAGGAAAAGAAAUCAACCGAGAUUCCCCCAGUAGCGGCGAGCGAACGGGGAGGAGCCCAGAGCCUGAAUCAGCAUGUGUGUUAGUGGAAGCGUCUGGAAAGGCGCGCGAUACAGGGUGACAGCCCCGUACACAAAAGCGCAUGUGCUGUGAGCUCGAUGAGUAGGGCGGGACACGUGGUAUCCUGUCUGAAUAUGGGGGGACCAUCCUCCAAGGCUAAAUACUCCUGACUGACCGAUAGUGAACCAGUACCGUGAGGGAAAGGCGAAAAGAACCCCGGCGAGGGGAGUGAAAAAGAACCUGAAACCGUGUACGUACAAGCAGUGGGAGCACCCUUCGGGGUGUGACUGCGUACCUUUUGUAUAAUGGGUCAGCGACUUAUAUUCUGUAGCAAGGUUAACCGAAUAGGGGAGCCGGAGGGAAACCGAGUCUUAACCGGGCGUUAAGUUGCAGGGUAUAGACCCGAAACCCGGUGAUCUAGCCAUGGGCAGGUUGAAGGUUGGGUAACACUAACUGGAGGACCGAACCGACUAAUGUUGAAAAAUUAGCGGAUGACCUGUGGCUGGGGGUGAAAGGCCAAUCAAACCGGGAGAUAGCUGGUUCUCCCCGAAAGCUAUUUAGGUAGCGCCUCGUGAAUUCAUCUCCGGGGGUAGAGCACUGUUUCGGCUAGGGGGCCAUCCCGGCUUACCAACCCGAUGCAAACUGCGAAUACCGGAGAAUGUUAUCACGGGAGACACACGGCGGGUGCUAACGUCCGUCGUGAAGAGGGAAACAACCCAGACCGCCAGCUAAGGUCCCAAAGUCAUGGUUAAGUGGGAAACGAUGUGGGAAGGCCCAGACAGCCAGGAUGUUGGCUUAGAAGCAGCCAUCAUUUAAAGAAAGCGUAAUAGCUCACUGGUCGAGUCGGCCUGCGCGGAAGAUGUAACGGGGCUAAACCAUGCACCGAAGCUGCGGCAGCGACACUGUGUGUUGUUGGGUAGGGGAGCGUUCUGUAAGCCUGUGAAGGUGUGUCGUGAGGCAUGCUGGAGGUAUCAGAAGUGCGAUUGAUUACA